rnacentral:rRNA from 2 species
UUUAAUUGAAGAGUUUGAUCAUGGCUCAGAUUGAACGCUGGCGGCAGGCCUAACACAUGCAAGUCGAGCGGCAGCACAGA